CAUGUAGGCGGAUUGAUAAGUUUGAAGUGAAAUCCUAUAGCUUAACUAUAGAAUUGCUUUGAAAACUGUUAAUCUAGAAUGUGGGAGAGGUAGAUGGAAUUUCUGGUGUAGGGGUAAAAUCCGUAGAGAUCAGAAGGAAUACCGAUUGCGAAGGCGAUCUACUGGAACAUUAUUGACGCUGAGAUGCGAAAGCGUGGGGAGCAAACA
rnacentral:rRNA from 1 species